UACGGAGGGGGCAAGCGUUGUUCGGAAUUACUGGGCGUAAAGGGCGCGCAGGCGGCUGCUCAAGUCAGGCGUGAAAGGCCUGGGCUCAACCCGGGAAUUGCGCUUGAGACUGGGCUGGCUUGAGUGCGGGAGAGGAUGGUGGAAUUCCCAGUGUAGAGGUGAAAUUCGUAGAUAGUUGGGAAGAACACCGGUGCGAAGGCGGCCAUCUGGACCGCAACUGACGCUGAGGCGCGAAAAGCGUGGG
rnacentral:rRNA from 1 species